AUGGCUCCCUUAAGCUGCAUGUCCGUGCAUGCAGGGAUGACGAAAGGCCCCGGGGGCAGCGCUGUGACACUGCGGCUCUCAGUGCAUCAGGACACGGGCAGGGCUGCGAGGCCAGAGCCGCACCGUGCACAGACCGCCGCUUCUCGGCUGGAGCGCGGGUCUGCCUCCGCUGAAACCCGCUGGAAGCCAAACCUCUGGACUAAAAUAGAGUUUUCUCCCCAAAUGCUACAAGUUGGAAGGGCCGCGGACGCAGGAAGCGAGCCGCCCUUCUCACUUACUGCACACACAACUUACAGACACACUGAACUUGCAGCGCAGACGCGCGCAGCGCUUCUCACCGCUCACCGCCCCCGGCCGCAAUGCCGAGCUUCCCCCGCCCCGGCCCCAGCCCGGCCCGCAGCGCGCCGCCCGCCCCGGCUCCUCCUCCCACCGCCAUGCGGCCGCCAUCAGCUGGGCCCCGCGGCCCGCACAGCCCGCCGGAGGACAGCGGCGGAGCACCCGCAGCACGCAUGGGUUGCGGCGGAUUUGCCCGCUGGGCUCGGAGGGCGGCAGCAGAGGCAGAGCAGCCCUGGGAGCGGCCUCACCUGCCGCCCGGCAGCACCACCUCCCCGCACCGCGCGGCCUUCCGGGCCCGGCCCGUGUGCUCCUGGGCGGGGGGAGGGAGUCCGGACGCUGAUUGCCUCCACCCUCAGCUGCUCCAGGGCCCGUUUGGGCCUCUUUGUAAACAUUCCCCACAAACCCACGGGGGCCGAGAGGAGACCGCUGAGGUUUGGCUGCUGCAGCGAGCUGCUCGUUUGGGAGCAGAGCACGAGAUUUGUUGUGCGGCCGAGUUCGCCAUUUAAAGCUUUACCUGCGCCCGUCCCUUGCUUAGUGCUGGUGUGGAGAUGUUUUACAGUCCAGUAUGGUGAUUAAAAGGAAGGAGUGUGGAGGAGGUUUGUAAACCAACCAUUCUAAUAGUCAGUGUCAGUGAUCCUCCUUUCCAUAACAAUCAUCAUUUCUUUGCCUUCAGGAUGCCAACAUAAGGAUGAGCUCUGCAGGUCAGUCUGUGCCGUUCCAGUUGAGGAGGAGCGGCCUAUUGACCAGCAUGGACAUGGCAGUUGUUAGCACUGACAACAGUGCAGCUUGAAGAGAAAACUUAAUUAGCAUGGAAUUCCCUGAAGGACUGCUUCCCAGUAGACUAUGAAUACAUAAUGUCAUUAUAUAAUUAAAUACUUACAGAUUUAUGCAAUCUUAAAACAUAUAGGAAAUUCUCGGGCACAUCCACAUAGGAGAUGUGAGUAGAGUCCCUUUACCUCUGCUCUGUAUAUCUGAGCUGUGAUGGGAGGUGUAUAUAGCUGCUUAAUGCCUGAAAUUGCGUCCUUGCCAUAUUCUCCCCUCCACUCCUGGGGUUGGGUCAGGUGGAGCGAGUCAGAUUGUGCUGGCACCUCCCCGAUGAGAAGUGGGUGACAGGAGAAAGGGUAAAGCAGGAUAUCUGCGUGAGUUCCAAUUAACAGCGUGAGGUUCAUUAAUUCCUUCCAAGUAUUAGUGAAUGUUUACAAUUUUAAGUGCUUCGGAAAUUUCAGUCUGGUAUCUUAUCUCUUAAAAAUGAAUCUACUUUACUUUGAAAAUAUUGUAGUGCCAGAUUAAAGGGAAACAGUGCUGAAGUGAAUGAAAGCACUCUGUGCUGCUUCGCACACUGAAAAGUAGCCACUUCCUGAAACUUUAUGUGGAAACCUCCAGAAAAUACACAUAAAUCUUUUCUAACUCCCCUCCCAGGAUGAUCUCCUUAUUGCCUGAAGCAUAAAAAUUGAUUAUCUUUAAUAUGAUUUUAGUUUGCAUUAUAACAGGUCUGAAAAGGGAAUGGGAGAUGUCUGAACCCUCUUAGAACCAAGCAUUUGGGGUUUUGGCAGUGAGUCCACAACUUGUCUGUUUGCAGUAUAAAGAAGAGUAGGAAUUCGAACUGCACUGUGUUCUAACUUAAUCAAAGUGUCAUAUUCUUCUGUUAGCAAGUGAUGUAGGAAGGGUGCUCCUGAGCUCUCUGCACUCUGCCCCAAGAAUUACGAACAUCUUAUUCAAAUCUCCUCUAAUCCCUCAGCUGACCAGAUUUUAAUCUUUACUAUUUCACCGGUAUAAUUCCAACCACUGAACUUUUGAAUUCCCUCCUAUCCUUCAGUGGAUAGGAAAUGGCUGGGAAGACUAUUCCUAAUUAGAUAUAUCACUGACCAAUGAUAAGAGUGUCAAUAGAAGAUAUAAACCCCCUUUUUCUGUAGAUUCUGGCCUGUUCCUGCUGCUUUACUUGGUAUAUCUUGUCAGGCUUCCUUCUUAAAUUAUCUGUAAGUGCCACUGCUUGUUAAUUUUCUUGCUAGGAGUCUCCAGCAUUCAGCAUGACACAUCCGGUUCUCUAAUACUGAAGCUUG
rnacentral:lncRNA from 1 species